GCCUCGGUAGUGUAAAGGAUUAGCACGGCAUACCAGAUAUCUGUAAGUGCGGGUUCGAGUCCCGCCUGAGGUU
rnacentral:tRNA from 1 species